UUGGGAUAGGAUGUGACUGCUUUGAGUCUCUGCUUCAAGCUACCUAAUAGAAUACAGCCACUGAGUUUCGUAUUGUAUGUUGGCUCUUCCCACUGAUUGAAUUGUGAAUUUUAAAAGGACAUUACACUUGUUGCAACAUUGCCUGUCUGGACCUAAGGAGGAGCAAGAGAAGAUAAGAUUCUUCUAAUCAUCGCAUAGAAGUACUUGCAGUAAAUAACAGUUUACAGUAGUUAUUGAUGUCGUGAAGUCUCUAAAGCCUAGAAAGGAUGAAAAUGCUGAAGUUUUGAGGACUAACGAUAAUAGUAAUAAUAAUAAUACCUUAUUGGCAUUUUUAAAAUGAAUUCUCCAAGAAAAUAUCUGCUUUUUCCAAUGUCCUUAUUUUUCUAACCUGGAUGGCUAAUAUCCCAAAUCCUUCUGCUACCUUUAACUGGUUCUUCAUGGAUGCA